CAUUGAAACAUUGGUUCCUGUAAGAUCACUGAAGUUAAGCAAUGUCAAGCCUGGUCAGUACCUAGAUGGGUGACCGCUUGGGAAUACCAGAUG